UACGUAGGGUGCAAGCGUUGUCCGGAAUUAUUGGGCGUAAAGAGCUCGUAGGCGGUUUGUCGCGUCUGCUGUGAAAACCCGAGGCUCAACCUCGGGCCUGCAGUGGGUACGGGCAGACUAGAGUGCGGUAGGGGAGACUGGAAUUCCUGGUGUAGCGGUGAAAUGCGCAGAUAUCAGGAGGAACACCGAUGGCGAAGGCAGGUCUCUGGGCAUUAACUGACGCUGGAGGAGCGGAAAAGCAUGGGGAGCGAACAGG
rnacentral:rRNA from 1 species